rnacentral:tRNA from 1 species
GCCUCCUUAGCUCAGUUGGUAGAGCGUUUCACUCGUAAUGAAAAGGUCGCCAGUUCGAUUCUGGCAGGAGGCUCCA